rnacentral:rRNA from 2 species
AGAAUGACUCUCGGCAACGGAUAUCUAGGCUCUUGCAUCGAUGAAAAACGUAGCGAAAUGCGAUACUUGGUGUGAAUUGCAGAAUCCCGUGAACCAUCGAGUCUUUGAACGCAAGUUGCGCCCGAAGCCAUCAGGUUGAGGGCACGUCUGCCUGGGCGUCACAU